rnacentral:lncRNA from 1 species
UCUUGGGCUGUUGCUCUGAGUUGUGGCAGUCGAAGAGAUCGUUGAUGAAGCAUUGGCGUCAUGGUCUGAAUUAGAGGCCACAUCAGAACCAGUCGCAAUCGAAAAAGCUUCGGGGAUCAAGAAGAUCAGCGGCGAAGGGUGUGGAGCCUAGAAUAAUCCCAAAAAUUCUAGAAGUGACACGUAAACUUUUGUUCAAGAAAGACAAGAUUGCCCUCAUUAAAGGGGCAGACUCCUCAAAUACUCUCACGUGCAGCUCACACCUCUGAAGGUCCCUACAGUUGAAUACGACUGUCCACAGCUCACCUGACCUUGGCAAAGAAAAGUCAAAGCAUUAAAAAUAAUGAUUAAUUACCCAACUCCUAUAUUUAAUUCAUCCAUAAUUGAAGAUCGACUCCAUUCAAGUAAGUAAUCCCUAUUUAAAUCAAUUAGGGAUAUCAAAAUAUUAUUUCAUAUUUAAUAUCUUGAGAAUAUUUCUCAAAAAAAACCUUGGUAAAACCCUAAAGGAGGGGUAAGGGAGAUAGGGGUGGUUAGGUAUGGGAUACCGAACCAAAACUUUAGUCCUAAUUCCCAAACCGAAAUUUUCGGUAUUCCCAAUUUCAAGACCAAUCCUAAACCAAAAUUUCGAGAAUCCCAAUUUUCAAGAAUCCUGAAAUAGUUUCGGUAUUUCGGGACAAUCAAGAAUCUCGAAAUAUUUUUGGGCUUUUAGUGAUUUUGUAUUUCCAAUUCCCAUAGCUUUUAUAUUUUCACUGAAAUAAUCAGGUACAUACUUCAAACAUUACUGUGCUUCUUGUUUUCCUUCGUUUUGUGAUUGUUCUUCUAUUACUAGUUUCAACUUCAUACUUCCGAUGAGUUACCUGGCAUCAAGCUGAGGAGGUAGAAGGAAUAAUGCAUGAAUUGAUCAAACGAUAUCAGUAGGCAACAUUAAACUCUUAAAUAACCACCAGUGCAACCGCGGAUAAGUUUUAUAUGAUAUCUUCUUUUUUAGUACUGAGAUGCAUUUAUAAGUUUAUAACCUAUAGAACAUAGUUGUUUUACCAUUUAAGAAUACACUAGAAGGAAAACCUAUUAUAGAAGUUACUAGAAAAUAUGCCCAAGCGUUGCCGCGAGAACCAGUUGUUUCAGAUGUAAUUGGAUGAAUAAAACACAUUUAAGUUGAAUAAAUUCAACACAAUUAUGAACAAAGGGAUACAUGAGUGAAUGAGGACUAUAAGAUAAGCAGUUUUGCUUUUAUAUACAUUCAACUGACAUCUUUUAUCGUUGUAGUCUCUAAUAUAUAUGUAAGGUAUGUAACCUGAACACAGAAAAAGAGGAAAUGACACGAAGGAUGUUUUGAGGGGAAUGGCAGAACUGAACCAUGAGGGGAAACUUACACAGAAAAUGACCAGAUUUCCUGAAAUAGAAAUUAAAUUAAUUUAUGGUAAAGUUACACAUACAUGUAAGGAA